rnacentral:rRNA from 1 species
CGUGCCUAAGCUUAUGCAAGUCGAACGCGAACGGCUCCUUCGGGAGCCUAGUAGAGUGGCAAACGGGUGAGUAACGCGUGGGUAACGUACCCUGAUCCUGGGAAUAACCCUCGGAAACGAGGGCUAAUACCGAAUGUGGCGAACGACCGGUUGGUCGCUCGCUAAAGGUGGCCUCUUCUAUGCUGCCGGGUUGGGAUCGGCCCGCGUCCCAUUAGCUAGUUGGUGAGGUAACGGCUCACCAAGGCCACGAUGGGUAGCCGGCCUGAGAGGGUGUACGGCCACACUGGCACUGAGACAAGGGCCAGUCCCCUAUGGGAGGCGCAGGCGGGAAUAGUUCACAAUGGGCGAAAGCCUGAUGACGCGACGCCGCGUGAGCGAAGAAGACCUUCGGGUUGUAAAGCUCUGUCAGGAGGGAAGAAGGCUCUACGGGUCAAUAGCCCGUGGGAUUGACGGUACCUCCAGAGGAAGCCCCGGCUAAAUACGUGCCAGCAGCCGCGGUAAUACGUAUGGGGCAAGCGUUGUCCGGAUUUACUGGGCGUAAAGGGCGCGUAGGCGGUUUGUUAAGUCGAAGGUGAAAUCCUCGGGCUCAACUCGAGAAUUGCCUUCGAUACUGGCAAACUAGAGUGGCGGAGAGGAAAGCGGAACUCUUGGUGUAACGGUGGAAUGUGUAGAUNUCAAGAGGAACACCGGUGGCGAAGGCGGCUUUCUGGACGCACACUGACGCUCAGGCGCGAAAGCGUGGGUAGCAAACAGGAUUAGAUACCCUGGUAGUCCACGCCAUAAACGAUGGGUACUAGGUGUCGGGGGUAUCGACCCCUCCGGUGCCGCAGUUAACGCACUAAGUACCCAGCCUGGGGAUUAUGGUCGCAAGGCUGAAACUCAAAGGAAUUGACGGGGCCCCGCACAAGCGGUGGAGCAUGUGGUUUAAUUCGACGCAACGCGAAGAACCUUACCUGGGCUUGACAUGCUUGGGACAGCGCUGGAAACCAGGUCUCUCAUUCGGGAGCCCUUGCACAGGUGCUGCAUGGCUGUCGUCAGCUCGUGUCGUGAGAUGUUGGGUUAAGUCCCGCAACGAGCGCAAC